CUGCUCUGCUGAGGGAUGGGGCGGUGGAGUGGAGGCUGUGAUCAAAGGCAGUGGUUCUGUUUCUCUAAGGAAUGGCUUCCUAUUUUAGGACCUGUCACUGGAACAGGAUGGCCUCCGGCCAGCCAGCCUCACUGUGGGGAAGCGACUGUAUUCAGGAAUUAAAAUGUCACAGGCCCAUCGCAGGAGGGCCUCCAUCUGGGCCUCGCUGACAUUUACGCCCGUGUCUGCCCUUCCAGCCCCAGAGCAACAGGAGAGGGUGAGAAAAGUCGCUCGGGCUCACCCUUUCGGAGCCAUGGAGAUGAUCAACGAAACAAUAAAUGAAAUCCUGAUUGGUAGCUCUGCCAAUUUCCAAGGUGUAAAUCAACCAUGGUCAAAUAUAAGCUACCAAUGGGACAUCAGCGCAGCACACAAGAAUUGUGUGGGGAAGUGCACAGUCGUAUAUCAUUGUAUGUACUUCCACAAUACAGAGACAAUACAUGCAAAUACCCUCAAGAGGAGAGAUUAUAGUAAAAUAAAGUUCUAUUGGACAGAACUGCUCCCGAAAGUUUCAAAAGAGGCUUCUGCCCUGAGGAACUUUCCUUUCCUUCCCUCAUCGUGUCAGUAAUACAGAGUAGACCCCAGACUGGGAGGCAGAGCACCUACUGCAGCACUGGACAGGCUGGCUUGCUGUGUGACUUUGGGUAAAUGCCUCACCUCUCUGGGCUAUAGUGUCAAUAA